GUCUACCGCCAUCCCACCCUGAAUGUGCCAGAUCUUGCCUGAUCUUGGAAGCUAAGCAGGAUCAGGCAUGGUUUGUAAUGGAUAGGAGAAUUAGGUCAAUUAAUAAUUAGUAUUAGCGUGGAAAAUU
rnacentral:rRNA from 14 species